AGCAUAUACACAAAAUGUUGAUGGAGGGGAGGAACCUAUAAUCGUAACAGAUGGAGGGGAAAACAACCAUAUACCUGUCGAGCAACCAUUUGGCGAGAAGGAAAUUAUCGAUUUGUCAUUGGUGCCUCGUGUGGGGGAAGGUUUAGAGUCGGGAGUGCAGUCGGGUACUGUGGCUGGGGAUAAUGUCGUUCCCCUGGUUUCUCUUCCUCCGAUUAACGAUAUAGCGGGUUCAACAGCGGAUUGGAUUCUGAAUAAAGAUAAUGGGUUUCUACAAACCCUGGGACUUUCAUAUGGAGAGCAGGGAGAAUAUGAAGACCAAUUUAAAGCACUACUCACUGCAAUCGAGGCGAGCCACAUGCUUGAAA